AGCCCCAGGUGGACAAAUAAGAAGCAAACCCAGGGCGUGUUUAAAAGGACAAGUUUGUCUAGUCGUUUAAUGCUGUUUUUCUUUCCACAAGUUGGCAACUGUUUAAAAUGCUGUGGCUCAUUUUACUGGUUGCAUGUCUUUCUGAAGGAUAUAUUAACUCACUGAAGACAGGACCACCUCAUCUGAUACAGACGAGUGAAACGCAGCUUGAUUUUGAGGCAGAUUAUGCUGUACAGGAGGGGGAUAUCUUACUGCCAACUGACCGGAACGCAGUGAGUCAGCUGUGGGCCAUGGUGGAUGGACGUUUAUCAGUGCCUUAUGAAAUUAAUAUUGAUCUUGAGGCCAGGACUGAAGACAUUCUUAAUGCCUUAAAUAUGAUUUCCAAGAAGACAUGUGUCAGAUUCCAUCCACGUGCUGAUGAAACGGACUAUUUGCACUUUGAGUACGGAAAAGGGUGUGCAUCUUAUGUUGGAUGUAUAGGGGGUGAGCAACCUCUUCUGGUUGGGCCAAAAUGUAAACCUGGGAACAUCUGCCACGAGAUCCUUCACUCCCUCGGUUUUCAACACGAGCAUUCCCGAAAUGACCGUGGUGAUCAUGUGACUAUACUUAAUGAAAACAUUGCCUCUGGGAAAGAGGACAAUUUUUUGAAGAGAAGGGGGAAAACCCUCGGUCUGAAGUAUGACCUGGACUCCAUCAUGCAUUAUGGAACCAAUUAUUUCUCUCGCAAUGGAAAGCCCACAAUUGAGCCCAAAAAGAGCGGCGUAACGAUCGGCCAGAGGAGUUACUUGUCUGAUCUGGAUGUGCAAAGGAUCAGGAAGCUGUACAACUGUGGAUCCAAGACAGAGUAGAAUAAUCAUGGAUGAUAGUAAGACGUGCAAACGUAAAAGAAAAGCAAACUGGAUGCAAGAACAUGUUACCUCUUGCCCAGCUGAUUAAUGAAAACGAGGAAAAUUUGGAGUUGCGAUAACCUCCAAAACCAAAGGCAAGACUCAAUAAGGAUCAACCUAAAUCUUGAAUGGCUACGUGUUGAUGACAGAGGAAUUUUGAAUCUGGGAGGACAAAUAAAGUUUUCACAAUCUAAAUGCAUAUGUCCACAAUACUUGUAUUUGUCAUUUUUAUGUUUUGUCCAGUAGGUGGUAGUCACUGUGUGUUUUUUUUAGGUAGAUGAUGUGAGUGGAGUCUGUGUUGCUAAAAAGGGGUAAGAGGCACAAAUGAACAUGCAGGACCAUCUCAUGAAGGUCAAUUUUAUAGCAUAUUGCAGCGUAGUGUUUUUCUUUUGGAUUCUUAAAUGAAUUUGUGUUUGAUUUCACCAGCAUGCUUGCUAAUCACAAUCCAUUUUCCUGUUUGAAGAGCUGAAUCUGUUUCAGUUCAUCUGAUAUAGUUUUAUUGUAUUCAUUAUUAUAUAUUGUAUGCUUCACUACCUCUUAAUUGUGGCCUUUUAAAUAAAGUAUGGGUGUAAGGUUUUUAGUUUAAUUC